CUCGGCCACCUCGUCCAGGCAGAUGUCGUUAUUCACAGCAGGGUUGGGGUACUUGGGGUACCGCGCUAGGAAUUUGUGGCAUAGCAACCCCAAGCUCUUCUCCUUCCGACUCGGCUGGGAUUUCUCAAAUUCGUCUCCUGAUAAGUGUUCCUGCAGAGGGAAAGGGCAAAUUUUUGGUGAAUCUUUUGGAGAGGAAAAUAUGUUCAAAGAGAUACUGGACCACAAAAGAGAUCACAGGAUUUGCUUCAAAUCAACGGAAACGGCGAGAUCAUGAUGGCAACCUCAUGUCCCUGUCUCACUGCGAAAGAGACAGAACAUCCCACCUUGUGUAAAACAUGGCUUGGUUCUCUCAGCUUUGCCAAACAGGAGCGGCAUUCUACUAUCAACGUCGGCUUUGUACCUGGCACAAGUCUGUGGGGACAUACUAGAAAGGCUCUCAGGUGCUUAGGACUCUUUGGUCAACACUCAUAUGUUGAAACCCACGUGUUGGUUCUCAAACCAUAAAGACUGUGGCUCAUUACAAGGAAGUUUAAAAGUACUGAGCGAAAGGAAACCACACAAACACCAAAGAACAAAGCGAAACAAGACAAAAUUCUCCUGCCUGAAGUUUUCUCUGACUAGUAUAUUUCUAAAAACAUAAGGAAUUAAAAGAAGAGGCUCCUGGAAAAGCCGUUAAAAUGUUCUCCAAAUAGCCAACUUCUAUAACUGCAGCCACAUUUGCAGGUAAAUAACAGUAACCACCAGCACCAAUCCUGAGAUGUGUCAAUCACCGAAAGGGUGCCGCUGACACCACUCCACCUUUCCACUGACUGACACCAUG
rnacentral:lncRNA from 1 species